CCUGGAGAGAGUUCCAGCAGUUCCCUUGCUUUUUGAUAUUCAGACUUAAACCCUCCAACUGGUGGCUUUUUUUCUGUGUCUAAGGACAAGGAGACGCUAGGGGAGAAAAUCAAGGAAACCUGGGGAGUGCUGGGCUAAUGAUGACCUGAUAGUCAGAGAAUGCUAUGACAGCCUCUGCUAGUCCCAAUCUUAAAGGUAUCCAGUCAUCUUUUGUUAGUAUUUCUGUGAUGUGGAACUGUGGAAUGAUUUCCUCCCAAGCAUCUGCUGCCAGAAUACAAAAGAAAGUAUAUUGGCUAGAAUACAGUUUAAAAUGCUGUUAAAAAGAUACUUAAAGCUGGAGUGGAACAAACAAAUUAGAUGUCUAUUUCCCACCCAUGUGCCAGUCCAGAGAUGA